GUUAGCUCAGUUGGUUGUAAAAGUUGACUUUUAAUCAAUUGGUCGCAGGUUCGAAUCCUGCAC
rnacentral:tRNA from 1 species